GUAGGUAAGGGAAUCGCCGGUUGCGAUAAGUGACUGGAGGAAAGUCCGAGCUACAUCAGGAAGAGGGCCGGGUAACUCCCGGGAGGAGUGAUCCUAUGGAAAGUGCAGCAGAAAAAAUACCGCCCACACCUGUGGGUAAGGGUGAAAUGGUAAGGUAAGAGCUUACCGCCUUUUCCAGCAAUGGAAUCGGGCAAUGUAAACCCCCCUCGUAGCAAAAUCAAGCAGCAGAUUAUCCUAAUAAUUAUCUGCGGGUCGAUCGCAAAAUAAAUUGGGCAACCGAUUUAUCAGAUAGAUGAUUCCUUAAACAGAACUCGGCUUAUUACCU
rnacentral:RNase_P_RNA from 1 species